UACGUAGGGACCAAGCGUUGUUCGGAUUUACUGGGCGUAAAGGGCGCGUAGGCGGCCUGACAAGUCACUUGUGAAAUCUCCGGGCUUAACUCGGAACGGCCAAGUGAUACUGUCAAGCUAGAGUGCAGAAAGGGCAAUCGGAAUUCUUGGUGUAGCGGUGAAAUGCGUAGAUAUCAAGAGGAACACCUGAGGCGAAGGCGGGUUGCUAGGCUGACACUGACGCUGAGUGCGCGAAAGCCAGGGGAGCAAACGGG
rnacentral:rRNA from 1 species